rnacentral:lncRNA from 10 species
GAACCACACUCCCCACCACUGUGGCUCCCUGGCAGCUGCCUAAAUGGCAGCUGCCGUGCCAGGCACUGUGCUAAGCCCUUUGCCUGCAGGAGCUCGUUUCACGCCCAGAACAAUCCUGUGAGACCGAACUACAGCGAUGCCCAUUUCACAGGUGGGGAAGCUGAGGUCAAGUGACCCACCCAAGGUCACAGUACCAAGAGGUGGCAGAGUGGGGCCAGGCCAGACUGACGGUAGGUAAUGCACCUGCUAGUUGGGAGGCUCAAAGCAGGGGUCCACAGAAGGUACGGCCCCCCCCUUCUAGUUUUAGGAAUAGCUGUUUCCCUAAACUUCAAUUCCUCCUCUCUCAAAUGGGGCUAACUGCGCCUAGCCCUCCUGGGGGUGUGCACAGGGACCCUCUGGAAGCCUGUGCAUGUGAAGGCCUUGGAGGGUGCCUAGCGUGUAGUACAUGUUCAGUAAACAAGAAUCGAUUCUGCCUCCUCCUCUGAACCUGUGCCAACUGCUGACACUUCAAAGCAGGCAUCGGGAAUGCUGCCUGAGAUACUUCAGAGACCACAAGGCAAGCGGGGGGAGCAGUGCUUGGGCCUCUGCGUGAACGCUG